UACGAAGGGGGCUAGCGUUGCUCGGAAUCACUGGGCGUAAAGGGUGCGUAGGCGGGUCUUUAAGUCAGGGGUGAAAUCCUGGAGCUCAACUCCAGAACUGCCUUUGAUACUGAGGAUCUUGAGUUCGGGAGAGGUGAGUGGAACUGCGAGUGUAGAGGUGAAAUUCGUAGAUAUUCGCAAGAACACCAGUGGCGAAGGCGGCUCACUGGCCCGUUACUGACGCUGAGGCACGAAAGCGUGGGGAGCGAACAGG
rnacentral:rRNA from 1 species